AAAGCAUCUAAGCACGAAACUUGCCCCGAGAUGAGUUCUCCCUGAGACUAUAAGUCUCCUGAAGGAACGUUAAAGACGAUGACGUUGAUAGGCCGGGUGUGUAAGCGCAGCGAUGCGUUGAGCUAACCGGUACUAAUGAACCGUGAGGCUUAACCUUACAACGCCGAAG
rnacentral:rRNA from 1 species